UUGAGGGAGGGAGAGACAGAGAGAGACAGAGAGACAGAGAGACAGAGAGAGACAGAGAGAUUAUUUGCCUGGCAGAAAGAGAGACAGAGAGGUUGUUCCCUCAAUAGACAUUGAUUUUGCUCAGGCAUUGCUGAGAUUGAUAUUGAUUUUGGGGCAUUUGGAUUUUCAAUCAGGAUGAGAGCAGUAUCGAAAUUGUAUGAGACGAUAGAGAUGAGAGUGCAUAUGGACUGCCCCGGAUGCGAGAGCAAGGCUAGAAGUACACUUCAGAAGCUAAAAGAUACGUCAAUUCGGGUUAUCUGAUUAAGGUAUCGACAACGUUGAGAUAGACAUGGCUCUGCAGAAGGUCACAGUGACCGGGUGGGCAAGGGCAAGAGGGUUGUCUUUUGAAGCAGCUUUCUUCUGGCUUGCUUUUGGUCACUGGGCCAUUUAAGAUUAAUGGUGUUCCUCGUAGACAGGUGAACCAAUCUUAUGUUAUUGGAACUUCAACCAAGGUUGACAGCUCUGGUGUUAACGUGGAGAAGUUUGAUGACAAGUACUUUGCCAAGGAGGGUCAAAAGAAGCAAAAGAAGGGAGAAGGCGAGUUCUUUGAAGUGGAGAAGGAGAAAGGGAGUUCUUUUUCGAUAAAGGAGUGUGUGAUUUCAAUUGCUUUGACAGUGGGGCUAAUAACAGGAGUUCCUGCAUUGGAAUUGUCAUAAGAAUGCCCAUGCAGCUACCCCCAGUGCUGCUUGAUCUGGCUGUACUGAUGUCCAGACCGCCAAUAAAGGACCCUGGGGCAUUGUAGAGAUAUGCUCUGCCUAUUAAUAACAAGGCUAUCAGGGAGGUAUAAAAGCCACUUGAAGAUAUCACAGAGAGUCUCAAGAUAGCUGGAGUCAAGGCACUAGAUUCAACUGAGCGGAAUUUGAGGCAGGCAUCUCCAGCACUGAAGCAGGGGAAGGCUUUAAUUGUGUCUGGAUUAGCUGAAUGGAAGGAGGAUCAGGGUGCUGAAUCGCUUGGCAAGCUGGCGGUUGGAAUGGAUGAGCUCCAACAGAUUGUGGAGGACAAAAAUAGAGAUGGAAUUGCUAAGAAACAGAAAGAACUGAUACCCUACGUCAGAGGGUGAUCGGGUAUAUGCUAGAAGCAUUACUUCUGGCAUGGUGAAGGUUUACUUCUUAUUUCACUAGGUAUAUCUAAUAGGCUAGAGCAAGAUAUAUAAAUGAGCUCUAAGUAGCUCAGUCUGUGAAAAGAAGAACUUACAAACUUUUUGCAUCUCACUUACGUAUAUGUCAUAGCAAGGAUUUCCAAAUUGUGCAUUCACUGUCAAAAUAUUAAGCACCUACCAUUUCUUAUAUCAGAUGCCUUGAGUUCCAAAAUGUUUACGCCACAAACGAGUCUGUAGGUCUGAUACUGUUACCGCAAGACUUUACUGCUGAUGAGUAGAUGUUAGUAAUACGAGUGAUAUAAAAAGAUUAGUGAUACUCGUGCUUAGGAAUAGUUAACUAUUAGGAAAAUCACCACCCAUUCCCCAGUGAUGAGUAGCUCAAAAGAUGUUGAAGUGCAUGAGAUUGUAGUUAUAACAUGUGUAGUCACUAGUCUCAUAUAUACCCUUGUCACUGACACCAGCUGAGCUCUUCCUGAGGAAUUGGAUUUCUGCAGUGUUGAAGAGGACAUGGUGGAGGAUUCCCCUUAUGAAGUUUGAUGGAGAUUCUUCUACUCCAUUGUUGUUUGAAUAAGCUCACUUGCACUUGGUUAGUGUAGUUAUCUUCUCUGUGCUGAUACUUUUCUUAUCAACAAAUUAAUAGCUAAUUAGAACAAUUCUAAGAUAAUAGAGGUGCAUGUAGAUUUGUCUUGUAUUCAUACUGAAACAAUCAAAUGUACAGGUCAAUGUGGUUGUAACCUAAUGAUUUGCCGCGAAUUGAUGAAUUGGACUAGAGACUGAUAUGAUAUAUUGUAUUUGCAAAACAAAACAGGGCAGACUGACAAGACGGUGAAGGUGGUGAGGGAAGGUGGAAAGGUGGUUACAAUAGUAGGUCCAGUAAUGCCUCCGGCGUUCAGAUUUGUGCUCACCCCUACAGGGUCUAUCUUGGAGAAACUGAAGCCGUACUCGAGGAGCAGGAAGGUGAAUCCAGUGCUUGAUCCCACAGGUCCAUAUCACUUUUAUAAAGUUGUUGAAGCACUUGGUUACCUUGAGACUUCAAGAGCUACAGGAAAGGUUGUUGUGUACCCCAUCCCAUGAGAUCGAGACUCGCUGUGUCUAUAAUCUAGGAUUUCUAUUACAGAUUUAGUCGAUUUUUACUGUAUGUAUGCAGCAGUUACUUGAAGACUUGUAGUACGGGGAUGUAAGAGAUGCUUGUUAUAUAUCUAGAAUCAGAGCUUCUUUACUUUCUUUGC